AAGGCCUGCACGAUUCCCCCUUUUUUAGAAGAAAACUGCCACUAUGAGUUGUUGUCUUUAAUGGUUCACACAUUUGGCUUCAACUUCAUUAAAGCUCCACUUUGCGUAUACAAGACUUUCAAUGGUGGAGAUUUUCCCUAUUAGGAAUUCAUCUGACUGCAAUUUACAGCCCAAGUCCUCCUUUGAUCCUUUCUAAACUUGCAAUGUGACCAGCAGAUACUUUUGGCUUCCAUAUGCAGAUUUUCCUUGAGCUUGUUAAAAAGUCUGCACAUUUCCAGCAUUGUCUGCCUCUCAAACUUGUGUUUGUUGCUGCCUCACUCUUGAUUUGGAUUUGGUAGCAGCAACUACUUCAUCAAUUUCUAGCUGUUGAUUGCCGAAAGUCUUGUUAUUGUGACAACCAUUCAUGGGAGAACAGGGUCAACGUUAGUGACACAAGUUGCCUUUGUUGUAACAUCAUUCAUAUCUUUAGGCUUAGUAAAUUUACAAAGAGCUUCGUGCUAUAUAUUGACUUUCAGUUGAGGAAACACACGGUAAUUCCAUCAAGCCCUUCUUAUUUUUAGUGACAUAUUGGUUUGUUCCUUC